AAAACGGAACUUUAAUGGCCACGUGCAUUCUUAGGCUACUAACAUGUAUUUGCUAUUGUUAUUGCUUGAGAAUACACGUAGUUAACAGAGGCCCUGCAAC
rnacentral:pre_miRNA from 1 species